rnacentral:tRNA from 1 species
GGUCCCGUAGCUCAGCGGUUAGAGCAGGUGACUCAUAAUCUCUUGGUCGCUGGUUCGAGUCCAGCCGGGACCACCA